UGGUGGGUAGUUUGACUGGGGCGGUCUCCUCCUAAAGAGUAACGGAGGAGCACGAAGGUUGGCUAAUCCUGGUCGGACAUCAGGAGGUUAGUGCAAUGGCAUAAGCCAGCUUGACUGCGAGCGUGACGGCGCGAGCAGGUGCGAAAGCAGGUCAUAGUGAUCCGGUGGUUCUGAAUGGAAGGGCCAUCGCUCAACGGAUAAAAGGUACUCCGGGGAUAACAGGCUGAUACCGCCCAAGAGUUCAUAUCGACGGCGGUGUUUGGCACCUCGAUGUCGGCUCAUCACAUCCUGGGGCUGAAGUAGGUCCCAAGGGUAUGGCUGUUCGCCAUUUAAAGUGGUACGCGAGCUGGGUUUAGAACGUCGUGAGACAGUUCGGUCCCUAUCUGCCGUGGG
rnacentral:rRNA from 1 species